UGUCACACCCAUUGUUUGGGUGGUAUUUUGAUUUAGUAAACCUUUGCUUGCUGUCAGUGUGUGAGUGCAGGAUGACUGGGAACAGGAAAAGAGUGCUAGCGGUCUUUCUGCUCAUCUCUGUGAUAAACUACUCAGUAGCUCUACCCGUGAAGACACGUCAAAAGACACUUAAACUGAUCCAGCCCUCAGAUCCACCUUUAGUUCCACUCCCUUCAGCCAGUGUAACACCAACAAACCUGGAGCAUGUGAGGGUCAGCAGCCUGUGGUCGCGUCUGAAAAGAGGGAGCGCAGCUAAUACAAAGAAACCGUCCCCUUACUUUGCUGGAUGCUUCUCUGUCAUUGGGGACCCAACAAAAUCACAGCAAUGACUGCAAUGAAAUCUCCUGUCUGCAAAUCCAAAGAUAUAUCUGUUUAUGCUUAUGUUGCCUAACCCUAAGUUAGAUAACUCGUAUAUCAAAUACAGUACUGUAUAUACAAGAAAUCUGUUUAUACAACUUCAUUAUUGUGUACUGUGCUAGACUGCCAAUUCUUAAAAUUGUGCAAGACUAACUUUUUUUUUUUUUUACCCCUAAAACUUUAUUCUAUAUUCUAGUUUUAAGAAAUGUAACUGCAGAACUGUUGAAUGUUUUUCUCACAUAACUGUUUGCUCGAGAUUAGAAUAUGUCACCUUUUCACAGUUAUUGGCUUUUGAAAUAGCUUUGCUCAUUUUUUUGCCAUCCAUGCAGUAAAGUUGCUAUUUGUGGAUUUCCUGAACAAAGACAUGAUAGUUCAGAAUAAUUACAUGGAUUUUGAAGUAAUGUCUAAGUGGCAGUUUCACAGAGGUGUCAUUAUAACCACAAGGUGCAAUUAUCGUGUUCAGGAGUUUAUGGCUUUUGUACCUGUGUGAGCUUAAAAACAGGAUAUAUAGGCAUACAGUAUCAACAUAUGGAAUUAUAGAGGCUUGUUUAGAAAAGUCAUAUAUCUUUGUAUAUAAACUAUUUA